UACAGAGGGUGCAAGCGUUGUUCGGAAUUACUGGGCGUAAAGGGCUCGUAGGCGGCCAACUAAGUCAGACGUGAAAUCCCUCGGCUUAACCGGGGAACUGCAUCUGAUACUGGAUGGCUUGAAUUCGGGAGGAGGAGUGCAGAAUUCCAGGUGUAGCGGUGAAAUGCGUAGAUAUCUGGAGGAAUACCGGUGGCGAAGGCGGCAUCCUGGACCGACAUUGACGCUGAGGAGCGAAAGCUAGGGGAGCAAACGGGG
rnacentral:rRNA from 1 species